rnacentral:rRNA from 1 species
CGUAUAAAGUUCUAGAUAGAAUUAUGAUAAUGACAUUAUCUAUCUAUAAGUCUUGACCAACAUGCGUGCCAGCAGUCGCGGCAAGACGCUAAAGACUAGUGUUAUUCAUCUUUAAAAGGUUUAAAGGGUACCUAGACGGUAAAUCAAGCCUUAAUCGGGACUAAUUUAACUAGAGUUAGAUGUAAGGGUGCAUUAACGUACUAUUGAGUGUAGGGAUGAAAUUCUAUGAUACCAGAUUAUUGGCACGGGUUUAGGCGAAAGCAUCACCUUAUGUAAUAACUGACGUUGAGGGACGAAGGCUUUGUGUCGCGAACAGGAUUAGGUACCCCAGUAGUCUUAGCAGAAAAUGAUGAGUGUCAUAGGUUAAAUAUUAUUUAGUCUAUAAAUGAAAGUGUAAGCAUUCCACCUCAAGAGUAAUUUGGCAACAUUGGAAUUGAAAUCAUUAGACCGUUUCUGAAACCAGUAGUGAAGUAUGUUGUUUAAUUAGAUGAUACACAAAGAACCUUACCACAUUUUGAAUAUUAUACAAGCGUUGCACGGCUGUCUUCAGUUAAUGUCGUGAGAUUAUGGUUAGUUCCAUUAAAUUAACGUAAACC